rnacentral:sRNA from 1 species
GAAAGCCGAAUCCAGCUCAGGAGCGGGGGAACCAAUCUUCUGGGGUGAAUGUUUUUUAGGAGCGCGUAUGUGUUUCGACCGGCUCCUAGGACAAGGGGAAUCUCUUGCCCCUGACCCGUCAGCUAACCUCGUAGGCGAAUAAAGAGAGGAG